CUUUUUCUUUCACCGGAGCUUGCUCCACCGAAAGAAAAGGAGUGGCGAACGGGUGAGUAACACGUGGGUAACCUGCCCAUCAGAAGGGGAUAACACUUGGAAACAGGUGCUAAUACCGUAUAACAGUAGAAACCGCAUGGUUUCUAUUUGAAAGGCGCUUUUGCGUCACUGAUGGAUGGACCCGCGGUGCAUUAGCUAGUUGGUGAGGUAACGGCUCACCAAGGCAACGAUGCAUAGCCGACCUGAGAGGGUGAUCGGCCACAUUGGGACUGAGACACGGCCCAAACUCCUACGGGAGGCAGCAGUAGGGAAUCUUCGGCAAUGGACGAAAGUCUGACCGAGCAACGCCGCGUGAGUGAAGAAGGUUUUCGGAUCGUAAAACUCUGUUGUUAGAGAAGA
rnacentral:rRNA from 1 species